rnacentral:rRNA from 1 species
AUUGAACGCUGGCGGCAUGCCUUACACAUGCAAGUCGAACGGUAACAGGUCUUCGGAUGCUGACGAGUGGCGAACGGAUGAGUAAUACAUCGGAACGUGCCUAGUAGUGGGGGAUAACUACUCGAAAGAGUGGCUAAUACCGCAUGAGAUCUACGGAUGAAAGCAGGGGAUCGCAAGACCUUGUGCUACUAGAGCGGCCGAUGGCAGAUUAGCUAGUUGGUGAGGUAACGGCUCACCAAGGCGACGAGCGGUAGCCGGCCUGAGAGGGCGGACGGCCACACUGGGACUGAGACACGGCCCAGACUCCUACGGGAGGCAGCAGUGGGGAAUUGUUCGCAAUGGGCGCAAGCCUGACGACGCAACGCCGCGUGGAGGAUGAAGGUCUUCGGAUUGUAAACUCCUGUUGCCCGGGACGAAUGGCUCCGACCUAACACGUCGGAGUGUGACGGUACCGGGUGAGGAAGCCCCGGCUAACUCUGUGCCAGCCGCCGCGGUAAUAC